rnacentral:rRNA from 1 species
UACGAAGGGAGCUAGCGUUGUUCGGAAUCACUGGGCGUAAAGCGCACGUAGGCGGAUUUGUCAGUCAGGGGUGAAAUCCCGAGGCUCAACCUCGGAACUGCCUUUGAUACAGCAAGUCUUGAGUUCGAGAGAGGUGGGUGGAAUUCCUAGUGUAGAGGUGAAAUUCGUAGAUAUUAGGAAGAACACCGGUGGCGAAGGCGGCCCACUGGCUCGAUACUGACGCUGAGGUGCGAAAGCGUGGGGAGCAAACAGG